GAUGAACGCUGGCGGCGUGCCUAAUACAUGCAAGUCGAGCGAACGGACGUGAAGCUUGCUUCUCUGAUGUUAGCGGCGGACGGGUGAGUAACACGUGGAUAACCUACCUAUAAGACUGGGAUAACUUAGGGAAACCGGAGCUAAUACCGGAUAAUAUUUUGAACCGCAUGGUUCAAAAGUGAAAGACGGUCUUGCUGUCACUUAUAGAUGGAUCCGCGCUGCAUUAGCUAGUUGGUAAGGUAACGGCUUACCAAGGCAACGAUGCAUAGCCGACCUGAGAGGGUGAUCGGCCACACUGGAACUGAGACACGGUCCAGACUCCUACGGGAGGCAGCAGUAGGGAAUCUUCCGCAAUGGGCGAAAGCCUGACGGAGCAACGCGGCGUGAGUGAUGAAGGUCUUCGGAUCGUAAAACACUGUUAUUAGGGAAGAACAUAUGUGUAAGUAACUGUGCACAUCUUGACGGUACCUAAUCAGAAAGCCACGGCUAACUACGUG
rnacentral:rRNA from 1 species